AUCACUACGGUGAUUUGCAAGCAACUCACUAUGCUUUAGUGUUGGACUAUCUGAAUUUUUAAUUCAGUGAUAAAAAGUUUUUGGGCAUAGUCAAGUACUUGCGAAGUUGGUGUAUGAGUCAAAAUAAAAUUGACCUCUUCGAAUAAGUAGGAGUUAAUAUAUCAGUGUGUUUCAAUUCAGUAAAAUAUUGAUUGGGGUAAUCCAUGUGAUGAAUUUUGAAAAUUAAAAUACAAUGUGA
rnacentral:lncRNA from 1 species